ensembl:lncRNA
AUAUGUUCCUAGUUUCCAAUUGGAGGAUAUAUAUGUGGCACGUGGAUAAAACGAGUCAGAGACCCACCCAAGGCCAGGAUUUCAUGAACAUAAUGAAAUGGUGAUCUUACCCCGCUGGGUAUUGGAGUGGUUUGCUCUGCUGCAGUAGGAACUGGAUGUUACAGGGGUCAUGUGUUCCUAAUGGAGUACCUAAUGAGAGUCCCUGGAUCAUCUUUUGGAGGAGACUUGACCAACCCACACUGAUGAGGCGGAAAUGGGGCCAGAAAGAAAAAGACAGGAAGGUCCUGGGAAAAGCAAGGUGAGAGAGAAUUCUUCAGCUGACUGACUUCUGACUUAGUCUGCAACAUUGCUCUUCCUGCAUGAUGGCCUUCCAACUGGAACACCUGUUCUCCCUGGGUCUCCCACACCAUCUGUCCAUCCUGCAGAUUUUGGAUUUACCAGCCUUCAUGAUGCGUUUUUCUGAUGGACUUUGAGGGAGCUGAGUUGACAAUUCAUGCCCACUUUUUAUAAUACUCAGCUGAAGAGUCAUUUCCCUUGACACCCCUAUUGGACCCAUCCUAGAGAGCUGUUUUUCAGACUGGAGAUUGUGACUUAUUAUUAGAGAGUAAUUUGAAAGAAGACAAGAAUCAAUAUACUUCGUAUGAGCUACAAAGGAUAAAGGCAAUGUGAUGCUUUAAGCCGUCUCAAAGUUAUAGAUUCUCCUCAGUCAAGUCGGCAGUGCAGCUAGACACAAUAUUUCUCAAGCUCUCAUGUCAUGUCCAGUGGGAUGUGAGUAUGAGUGGAACUUCCACAUCAUAUUCUUAAAGAAAGCUGCUUUCCUUCUACCUCUUUUUCCCCGUUUCCAUGGGCUGGAACUGACAUGGGGAGCCAGCCACGACCACAUAAUUGAGGGAAACAGCCUACAAGAACAUUUAAGGACAAAAAAUGGAAUGAACAAUAAAAAUGAAUGAACCUGAGUCAGGAAUGGCUUUGAAAGCAGCAGUCCUGCCUUCGAUGGGUAGUUAGAAAGAUGGGUGAUGAUGAUGAUGAUGAUCUCUCUUGGAUCACCUACCAAUCUCUGGAUUGUUAUGCGGUAGAGACACUCCUAUUUUGUUUGGGCUACUGUGUUUUUGGUUCUCUUUUUUGCUGCAGCUUAACAAUAAUAAAACUAAUAUAAAUAUCAUUCCUUUUUUUUUUUUUUUUACCUGACUUGAGAUCCCAGGGAACAUGCACCUUCCCUAUUCUCUAAUAGAAACAUUAAAAUGACCAGUGAGGAUAAUUUUGGACAUAGAAUUUUGAUGAAACUUUGUAUAAUUACAUAUUCCCUUACGUUAUGCUGAUAAGGCUUAAGCUCCUGGGGCGGAGACGUUAGUAUUAAAAUGAAGCCAACAGUGACUUUAGGUCAUCUCCUGGCUGUCUGCGCAGGUGCUGCCUUGGCCGCAGGGCUCGGUCUGGUUCAGGCGGGUUGACAUGGGAUCUCUUCCUGACAGAGCUCUGAAAAACACCCUUGAGGAAGUGUGAAGCACUUUUAAAACUCCCUUUGAGCUGCUUAUACACUGGUGACACAAGCAGAGAAAGCCAAAUGGGCCCCCCUGACCACUCACCUGGCACGCCCCGCUUCGCUGCUAGGCAGCCGGCCCCAGCUUCCCUGGGCCGACACCUGCAGUCAGGGCGCAGCCCACGACUCCCGGCGCUCUCGCUGUAAAGCUUUCCGACUUCUCUGCGUCCCUUUGAGUCUGUACCAGCACAGAAGCGGUGGUGGCUGGCUCCCUUGCUACAGCAAGCUCUGGAUAAAUAAACAUUGCUUAUUCUCAUUUGACUGGUCUUUGUUUAGUUCCGCAAGGGGCUUUAAAACAACUUUAUAAUCAAUCUCACCUCUUUCUCAAGAGAGAGAAAAUAUUGUGGUCAAGCUUAUAAAAGCCUCAGAAGAAGAAUUUUCCAAGGGUCUUCUGACUGUCCUUGAAAUGAUUCCUGGAACUUUGGGGUUCUUCUGCGUCCUGAUCCAGCCACAGUUCAAGCUUCCAGGACUGGAAUGAGCAGUGGGGAGAGCAAGCUCCCUGGAUUCACAGUGGGGACCUUUUGAUUUCCUGCUCAGGUCCCCAGUGUUGCUGACCAGGGCAACUUUCACUAAAACAUGACAUGACUAGAUAUAACAAAGCUAUGUUUUCAGGGUCAUAGGCUGUGUAUACCUGGCACUAAGUCAAGUAGAAGUUUGGCAUGGGUCCUGUUAAUUUGAUCAGUAUAGAUAAACAACAGGAUAAUUCAAGCCCAAAUCAAAAUAGACUUUGGCAGUCUGAUCUGGAUUUGACUUUUUAUUUUAUGUAACUCUCUAAUACCAGAACUCCAGCUUGCUUUGUACUGACUAGCCACAGACUUGAGAUUUUUGCUAGAUUUGAUAGUAAUUAGAAUGGUGAGAUGAAUUUCUGUUAUACUAUAAUUAAACUGUAUUUCUCUUCUUUUUGGUGGAAUUAUAAUGCUAUUGUAAAUACCACUAGCACCAUUAUUCAUCACUUACUGAUUGAUAUGCAAAAUCCAAGGACACAAAAUAAGAAGGAUGUAAAAUGAGGGUAGAUGUUUUGAUUACAGUUAGACUAGGAUUGAUAAAAUAUUAAUUUAUAUGCUAAAUCGAUCCUCUGGGUCCCAUUACGUUUAUUUUUCUUCUGAAUUUUAAUAGAAAACUACACACUAAUUCUCCUAAAGUCAUUCAGAUUAGUGAUAUAGAUGGCAUAUAUUUUCAACAAAAUGAAGAAAACAUUUGACUGAGGGAAUCUAGAAUCUUUAGUGUAGGAAAAAUGGCUCACAUUGAUAGGGUUCAUUACUGAAUCAAAUUAAAUAAAAAUUAUGCAGAAAUGGAAGGACACACAGCAUGCUUCACAAGGGAGAUACCCAUCAGUGGGCAUGAUUGUGGAGAGGAAAAACCAUUUGUGUUUCUUGUGCAUAAGGGAAAUGAUGAUUAUAAGCUAAGUUGAGAGUAUGUAAGAUUUUUUUCAUUUUACUGUCUUUCAGGAAAUAUCACAGGGAAGUCUGGAGAAACUUUUCAGAAUAAAGAUAGGUGGCUAAUCCUGAUUUAAGUGAAAUCUGACAAGUUAUGGUCAUUGCUGAAGCUGGUUAUUUUAUCCAGAUUAUUGUUAACUUGCUGAAUGCUCUUCACUGCGCUGUUACAAGAUGUCAUUUCAGGCUGGCUGUGUGAUCUCUGUUCUAGACAUCAGCUCCGGUGUGUGGCCUCUCUCCUCACAGUGGUCAGUGUUUAUAGAAACCAUCAUUUUUGUUUGCUUUAUUUAUAUUAGAGUUGUUUUGCUUACCACUGAACACAAGGCUGAAGUGGCCCAGUGGCUUACAGCCCCUGACCUCUCUUCUCUUGGGGUCCACUUAUACCUAGCAGAGAAUGUAAGCGCCUCCACAGGUUCUGAACCCCACUACAGCCGGCAACACAGUCCCUCAGUUCGCCUGGAAGCUGUUGGGAAAAAAAAUACUAACAAAUUUUUAGAGAAAAUAAGGUUAGAAGUAGAAAAAAGGUAGGAUCAGAAAAAUGAAAAAAACUUUACAAGUGUUUUUGCAUUUCACAGACUGAGCAUUUAACUUAUACCCGAUGCCUGUCACAUGUUAUCGCUCAUCCUUAAAAUAUCUGCUUCUAUAUCCCCCCUCCCACUAUCACUUACACAAAUAAUAUUUCCCCUACACAGGACCUGACUUUUUCUAUUUCAUUUAUUACAGCAACUGAAUAUUUACUAUUUAUGAUUAAUUGGGGUUAAUACAUAUCCUCUCUUAAAAUAAAUUUGGAUCACUGCGGGAGUGUUAAGAGGACAUAGAUGUUUUAACCUCCUUGUGAACCAGUUAAAUGAUACCAAAUGCUUACACAGCUUCGCUUUGUGCCAACUACUGUUAUAGUCCAUUUUAUCUAUGAACUUGUUUAAUCCUUGUGACAAGUAAAUGAGAUUGACGCUAUAAUUAUCAUCCCCGUUUUAUGGAUAUUGAACCUCAGGCCCAGAGAUGUUUGGGACCUUGUCCCCGUUUAGACGGCUAGUAAAUUAGAGAGCUUUGAUUUCAGCUCAAAGGACACACUCUGAAUCACCAUACCACCCGGCCUCUCUCAGUCAAGGUGUUUUCCUCCAACAUCAAACCAACAGACAAAACUAAAGCCUAGGUUCUAACUAGACACGGGGAAAGAGUUAGGUAAUUUUGGAGCAUAGACCCUCAAAUGGGAGGAAGCGUAGGGAUUAAAGUUUGGGUCAGCUGUAUAGUCAAGGUCUUAAAAACAGCAGAUGGGAACCCAAGAAAAGGGGUGCCAAAUGAAGGACAAAAGGGUGAGAGGAAGUAGAUAAAAGAAAUUUCGUACUUAAAAAAGUUGUCUGGUGCCUGCAUCCGUGAUGUGGAGAACAGCUCUUCCUCCUGCAGCAGCUCAUUUCUUUGCCAUCUCUUCCCUCUUUGCUUUUCCUGCACCUCACAUUUCCUUUUCCCUUAGUACCCAGAAUGAUGCUCUGGAGUCUGCUAUGUCUAGCUGUAGGCUACCUUGAACCUGAGCACAAAAAUCCUCCAUGUCACCCAGCCUAGCUCAUCCAGCUAGAAAACUUCAGCUUGCAUUCCAUAGUUCUCUUGCCAGUCAUUUUUGUCUAUUUGUAAAAUUCUCUAAGGGACCUCCUGGGAGAAGAGGUGGUUUGUUGAGGACAGGAUUUGGAGGUUCUUGGGUCCUCUGGCCAAAUUCCAUUAUAAUCACCAUCAUAAAAGCUUUGCAUUUAGAUAAAUCUGGGUUCAGCUUUGGGUUUCGCACUUAUUGUAUGACAUUGGACUUGACCUCUCUGAAAGUUAAGGGGAUAAAGAAAAUCCCUAUUUAAGAAAGUUGUCCAGAUCCUAUAGAGAAAAACACCCUUCGUCCUGCCCUCCUCUUAUUUCUUUGCAUUCCUUUCCUUCUUUCAUCUUCCUGUCCCUUAUAUAUCUCUCUUUCUCGGGAUCCAGAUCUAGAAGCAUGCGCUUUAGCCUGUAUCGUCAUCUGUAAAAUAAAAUUACGGGA